ACUCACCGUACGCAAUUAUAUGUG
rnacentral:siRNA from 1 species